GAAGGUAUAGCUCAGUGGUAGAGUGCAUUCCUAGCAUGCGUGAGAUCCUGGGUUCAAUCCCCAGAACCUCCA
rfam:Camelus ferus unplaced genomic scaffold scaffold463, whole genome shotgun sequence.